rnacentral:rRNA from 1 species
GACGAACGCUGGCGGCGUGCUUAACACAUGCAAGUCGAACGGACCUGAUUUAAGCUUGCUUAAUGAAAGGUUAGUGGCGAACGGGUGAGUAACGCGUAGGCAACCUGCCCUUUAGACGGGGACAACAUUCCGAAAGGGAUGCUAAUACCGGAUGAGUUCUUUUGUACUCCUGUACGAAAGAAGAAAGGUGGCCUCUAUUUAUAAGCUACCGCUAAAGGAUGGGCCUGCGUCUGAUUAGCUAGUUGGAGUGGUAACGGCACACCAAGGCGACGAUCAGUAGCCGGUUUGAGAGGAUGAUCAGCCACACUGGGACUGAGACACGGCCCAGACUCCUACGGGAGGCAGCAGUGGGGAAUCUUAGACAAUGGGGGCAACCCUGAUCUAGCAAUACCGCGUGUGUGAAGAAGGCCUUAGGGUUGUAAAGCACUUUGUCAGGGAGAAUGGCAUAUAUAGUUAAUACCUAUAGAUGCUGAUGUUACCUGAAGAAUAAGCACCGGCUAACUCC